GAUGAACGCUGGCGGCGUGCCUAAUACAUGCAAGUCGAGUGAACAGACGAGGAGCUUGCUCCUCUGACGUUAGCGGCGGACGGGUGAGUAACACGUGGAUAACCUACCUAUAAGACUGGGAUAACUUCGGGAAACCGGAGCUAAUACCGGAUAAUAUAUUGAACCGCAUGGUUCAAUAGUGAAAGACGGUUUUGCUGUCACUUAUAGAUGGAUCCGCGCCGCAUUAGCUAGUUGGUAAGGUAACGGCUUACCAAGGCAACGAUGCGUAGCCGACCUGAGAGGGUGAUCGGCCACACUGGAACUGAGACACGGUCCAGACUCCUACGGGAGGCAGCAGUAGGGAAUCUUCCGCAAUGGGCGAAAGCUUGACGGAGCAACGCCGCGUGAGUGAUGAAGGUCUUCGGAUCGUAAAACUCUGUUAUUAGGGGAGAACAAAUGUGUAAGUAACUAUGCACGUCUUGACGGUACCUAAUCAGAAAGCCACGGCUAACUACGUG
rnacentral:rRNA from 1 species